rnacentral:lncRNA from 1 species
UCAGGAGGUAUCAUAAUUAUCAAGAAAUAUGGACCAUAGGAAGAGCAAAGAUUCAAUCCUAUAAUAUAGUAUUCGCAUUAUUGAUACUAACAACAUAGAAAUUUCCAUGAAAAAGAAAGCAUUGCGCAUGAUGAAUUAAGUUCCAUGACAAGGACUGAAGCAAUGACGACAACUGGCCCCUACAACUAUUGCAACAAGACCUUGAAUCCUUUGAUGAGUUCCUUUAAAUUCCUCAGUUUGGAAACCAUAACAUAUAUGCUACCACUAAAUCCUUACCAGAUUAAACAAUGGCCUCAUCCUUAACCAUUUCUGUUAUUCCAGGGGUACUGUGGGCUACCAUCCUUUCUUUUGCUACAACUGUGACAGCAGCAUAUCCAUCGCCAUUGGAGUCCGAAGCCAUAGCUCUGCUAGAAAGCAGGUGGUGGAGUAACCAUAGCAGCAAUACUUCACAAUGUUGCCAGUGGCCUGGUAUAACCUGCAACACUGCUGAAAGCAUCACCCAAAUUAACUUAUCUGAUGCGCCCAACAUUGAGGUUGGAGCUAGAUUUGGGAAACUGAAUUUCUCUUCAUUUCCAAAUCUUGUCCUUCUUAAUCUUAGUGAUCAUCAACUUAGAGGAAAAAUCCCGCAUCAGAUAGGUGAUCUAUCAGCAUUGAAGUACCUUGACUUGUCUUAUUGUGGUUUAUCUGGUGAGUUACCUCCUUCUCUAGGGAAGCUGACCCAAUUAGAAUUCCUCGACAUUUCCUAUAAUGAUAAUAUUAAUGGUUCCAUCCCUCCACAAUUGGGGAAUCUAGAGAACCUUGUGACUUUAAACUUAAGUCAAUGUGGAAUUGUUGGUCCAAUCCCUUCUGCUUUGGGUCAAUUAACCAGUCUCCAAUCUCUGAUCCUUUGGGGGAACCAAAUCAAUGGAUCUAUCCCAUUAGAAAUUGGAUAUUUGAGAAAUUUGACUUAUUUGAGUCUCUCCAACAAUAGAAUUGUUGGUCCAAUCCCUUCUGCUUUGGGUCAAUUAACCAGUCUCCAAUCUCUGAUCCUUUGGGGGAACCAAAUCAAUGGAUCUAUCCCAUUCGAAAUUGGAUAUUUGAGAAAUUUGACUUAUUUGAGUCUCUCCAAGAAUAGAAUUGUUGGUCGAAUCCCUUCUGCUUUGGGUCAAUUAACCAGUCUCCAAUCUCUGAUCCUUUCGGGGAACCAAAUCAAUGGAUCUAUCCCAUUAGAAAUUGGAUAUUUGAGAAAUUUGACUGAUUUGAGUCUCUCCAGCAAUGGAAUUGUUGGUCCAAUCCCUUCUGCUUUGGGUCAAUUAACCAGUCUCCAAUAUCUGCUCCUUUCGGGGAACCAAAUCAAUGGAUCUAUCCCAUUAGAAAUUGGAUAUUUGAGAAAUUUGACUUAUUUGAGUCUCUACAACAAUAGACUUGUCGAUUCAAUACCCAUUACUCUGUACCAAUUAACCAAUUUGGAAAUUUUGGACGUUGAUAAUAACCAACUUCAAGGUUCUAUUCCCCAAGAAAUUUGUAAUCUAGCAAAUUUAACUUCAUUGUACCUCUCCCAAAACAAAUUGACUGGUUCAAUCCCUUCUUGUGUUGGUAGUUUAUCAAAGAUGCUGUACUUAAGCCUUGGUUCUAAUCUAUUAAAAGGUCCUAUUCCCCAAGAAAUUUGUAAUCUAGCAAAUUUGACUUCAUUGUACCUCUCCCAAAACAAAUUGACUGGUUCAAUCCCUUCUUGUAUUGGUAGUUUAUCAAAGAUGCUGGACUUAAGCCUUGGUUCUAAUCUAUUAAAAGGUUCUAUCCCAAAAGAAAUUGGCAAGCUUUUUGAUCUAUCAUAUCUAAACCUUAGCUUCAACCAACUCUCAGGUCCUAUCCCUAUCUUGUCUGCCACUAAGCUUCGCAUUAUCGAUGCUGGAAAUGGUUGUAACAAGAUUUCUCCCGAUCCAUUUGAAGGCAAUAGUGAUUUAUCACCCUAUAUGUGUCCUACUCCACUAACCAAAAUAGCCAACAGCAGCAGAAUUCCUUACUAUAUCAAAACAUUCCUCCCUAUUGCGAUCUUAUUCACAUUCUCCAUUUUAGGAUGUUUGCUAUUUUCACGGUUUAAGCUCAAGAAUAACCAUGUCAGCGUACAACCAACCAAGAAUGGGGAUUUGUGUUCCAUAUGGAACUAUGAUGGAAAGAUAGCAUACGAGGAUAUCGUUGCAGCAACAGAGGAUUUCGACUUCCGAUACUGUAUUGGAGUUGGUGGUUAUGGUAGUGUUUACAAAGCAAAACUCCCUUGUGGUAAAGUAGUUGCUUUGAAGAAACUUCAUCAUUUAGAAGCCGAAAAUCCAACUUUUGACAAGAGUUUCAGGAACGAGAUCAAGUUUCUAUCAGAAAUACGACAUCGAAACAUAGUGAAGCUUCACGGGUUUUGUCUACACCGACGAUCCAUGUUUUUGAUCUAUGAAUACAUGGAAAAAGGGAGUUUGUUCUGCAACCUAAGGGAUGAAGUGAACGCUGUGGACAUGGAUUGGACGAAAAGAGUAGAGAUCAUCAAAGGCAUAGCACAUGCUUUGUCUUACUUGCACCAUGAUUGCUGCCCUCCGAUAGUUCAUCGAGACAUAUCAAGUAACAAUGUUCUUUUAAACUCAAGUUUUGAGGCCUUUGUGGCCGACUUUGGAACAGCUAGAAUGUUGGAUCUUGAUUCAUCUUAUCAGACCAUUAUUGUCGGAACUUGUGGCUACGUAGCUCCAGGUGGCGUUUUCUUUUUUACUUGAUUUACUGACCUUUUCUCUGAACAUAUAGUUGAAUUUCUUCUUACUAAUUUGUGUAGGUAGAACUUGCUUAUACAAUGAUUGUCACCGAAAAAUGCGAUGUUUAUAGUUUUGGAGUGAUAGCACUGGAAACAUUAAUGGGAAAGCAUCCUGAAGAAGUGUUAUCAUGGUUGUCAUCACCAACUUCUUUGGUAAACAUGAAGCUGGUUGAUGUGUUAGACAACCGUUUACCACUUCCAACAAGUCAACUAGUUACACAAAAUCUUGUUCAUGUUGAUACACUGGCAUUCGCUUGCUUAAAUCCACAAACGAAGUCCCGACCAACAAUGAAGGAAGUGUCUGAAUGGUUCCUUUCUCGCCAUACAUCCUUGGGAAUUCCUCUUUGGAUGAUCUCUUUGUUACAACUCAUGAACCGUGAAAUGCAUAUUAAAGGCAAAACUAAAACUUGUGAUGUUUAAAGUCCAUGCGCUUGUUGAUUAGAUAUUGUUUAUCAUGCUCUGAUAAUUUGUUUGUAAACCAUCUCUGGUUUUAUAUAUGAUGGAAUGAAUUGCAAUGUUUAAUAAACCCGUUUAUUCGGUUGCUUUAGAAGACAUAAAUUCUACAAUUUGAUCCAAAUAUUAAGACAUCAUCGCUGGCUGCUUCCUUGAAUUUUGUGCUUCUUUCAAACCAACUCAAAGAUAAAUAACAUAAAAGUAAAUUAAGGGUGAAUCAAAGCAACAAAAUGCAAUCAAUACAUACAUCAAGAAUUCACCUCAGCUAUCUAUAAUUCAUGAAACAAUCUCUCAACUUAUAAAAUGUAAGUGAGACUCCACAGACCUGAUAUCCAAACUCAAAAGCAAUAAAAGGCGUCAUCAGAACCCUGGCAAGUGAAGACGACAAUCUUUUCAAGCAAGGUAGCGAUACAACUUCCUGUCACCUUUAUCCCUCUCCAGGAACUCCCGCUCAAUAAGGGACUCGAUCCGUUUCUUAAUUACAACGGGGUUGGGCAGAAACCGUGACUGUAGCUGUUUUGUGACCUCAGCAACAAUGUUGUUAUGAUCCAGCACACGCCUAGCUUUCAUGAUCCUCACGAUUGCUGCCUCAAUUUGCGGUUUUCGAUCUUCCUCCACUCUCUGCCUAGUUUCUUGAUUUUCAGGUUCCGACUCCCUUUGCGCAGCCACAGUGCCUAUCUUGACCUUGAAGAACUUGCUUGUAUACUUGUCAUUGAAAAGAAAGGUAUCAGUGUCUACUAUGUCCUUGCUCAUAGGUUCUUUCCGAAGCACAUUUUUUCCCUUAACACAGGCAAGAGACUGCAAGCACCUUUUCAAGUCAAAGGUAGGAAUCUCGGUCACCUGCUCAAUCUCCUUAUAGCUUAGUCGAUCAGCAUCGUUGAAGAGCAUAAGGACACACAUCUGGUAUGUGGAAACAUUCAGUUCAUGCUUCUGUCCCUUACCAAAGGUUGCCUUCAAAUCAGCUGUCCCCAUGUUAGUUUGCCAAGACAAUCUCCGUCCGGUAUGGGUACCUAGGUAAUAAUUACGGAAUUUCUCACAUAUUCCCAGAAUUUCAGCAGGAAGUUUGCAUGUAGUAAUAGGUUGAGUUGGCCAAGAUCCAGUUGUCAGAACCUGGACAGAAAGCAUGGGACCAUCCCCUAUAUCCGAACCAUGACUUGCAUGGAAACCUUGCAUCGUAUCUUGUGAUGUCUUCAUAUCUGUGAACAUACCCUCCAACUUUGAGGUGAAUUGAUACCCACACUCUGUUUUGAGCUUAACAAUCAAACUUCUUUCAGCAUCAUCAGAGACGGACUUCCCUGAAAGAAGCCUUUUGGCCAAGUGUUGUUUGUAGUACUUCUCGAAAACAUCUUUCUCUUGAAGGUAACGGAAGAGCAUCAUCACCUUGUCGAGUAACAAUUCCACAUCCUCUUCAGUAACCCCCCUCAAACCUUUUCGAAGCUUAUCAUCAACAAACAAAGAGAUGAACUCUGGAGACCGAGAAUUCAGAUUGAUGAAAUAUUCAAACGAGGAAUUUAAUGCAUUUUGAAAAGUCUUGUCAUUUCUAAAUGCUGAAGUGAUAAUCUUGUCGUAUUUGUCCUUUAAAUCCAACAGAUGUUGCACAAAAUCGACAGGAUCCUUCAGCCUUUCGGGAUCAGUGAGUAACUGCUUACCAGUAUCACGAAUGUAUGAAGUCAUGACAUCUCUGAUUAAAACAAGCCCAUUGGAUACUCGACGAAACAAGUAAUACAUCCUUCCUAAGUCCUCAUAUUUUUCAUCGACAAUCAUAUUAAUCAACCCCGAGUUCUCCAUUUGCACAAGCCUGUGCAUAUGACUUUCAAUCAUCUCCGUUUCUACCACAUUUGUUAUCUUGACUUCACUUCUGGUGUCCAAGUAAUGUGAGACUCUCUCUAUUUCUUCAUUUAGGCGUCUCUCGGCUUUCUUUAGAUACUCCCCACAAUCACAUUACAGUCAUCUUCUAACCCACAAUCAUUUGUGCUAUGAGCUUUUGGGCACUAUUCCGGAUAAAAUGGACGGAGGCAAGAUCGAGAUGGGCUAGUUGCGAGACACACUCCUGGAUCCGGAUGAAGAUUCAACCGAAAUAGAAAGAAUCCGAUAUGCUCGGGCAUACAUUCUUCAGUUAAUUGGAGGUUAUCUAAUGAUAGACUUGUCACGGAGCCGCGUACAUCUAAUAUGGCUGCUGAAACUCGUUGAUUUUAGAGCAGCUGGUGAAUUCAGUUGGGGGUCUACCGUCUUGGCCACAUUAUAUCGGGAGAUGUGCGGGGCGACGUGACCGAGGAGAGUAAAAAUCAGAGGUUGCCUGUCACUACUGCAAUCAUGGGCACGGUUUCGCUUUCCAUUUUUAUGUCCUCGAGUGGACCACCCAUAUACAUUCCCAUUCAUAACGAGGUAAAUUUUAUAUUAGAUUUUACAAUUAUUAUGUAGAUAUUUAAAAAUAAAAGUAUGCUAAAAGUUUAUUUAAUUAGGUGGAACCAUCCGGCAAGUCAUGCUCGAUUACCUACCGAACUUGAAAAUAUACGGCUUCUAUUAGACCAACAGUCGGAAGCACAUGUAAGUAUUAAAUAAAAUUGAUAUUUCCAUCAUUCGCUAGUCGAUUGGUAAAUAGUAUUUAGUAUUUAGUAUUUAGUAUUUAGUAUUAUGUAUAUAACUAAUAUUUCUAUAAUGUUCACAUAGUUUCAAUGGACACCAUACGAGGAUCCGGCAAUUUGGGCAAUAAUUCCGGAUGAGUUCUUACAAAAUCGAAACGCUUGGCACGUGAAAGUCGUGUUGAUCAACUACACGACCAUGGAGCCACACCAGUCAGACAGAGUGCUACGACAGUUUGGAUGUAGACAACUAAUUCCCGUGGAACCUGAGGUGUUUGACGAUCAACACAAAAUCGACCUUCGGCAAUUGAAUACGGAUUGGCCAAGAUACUGGUUCGAGUACAUGGAAAUGUGGGAAGAUCGGUAUGAAUACAUACCUACUCUGGAACCAAUCAUCGUUCCGGAGUUAGUGUGGGUGCUGGAAUACAUGUCAUGGUUUAGGAUUCAUGGCAAGCUGUAUUUACUGACGCCAGAGGAGAGGCAGCGGCAAUUACGUGUCCAAAGGGAAAGGCGCAGGCCUCAAAAUCCAAGACGACAAGACGACGACGCUAGCCCCUCAACGAGGCCUAGACAUUCACCCGGCCCAUCAUCAGAGGUCAUGCAAUCACUAGGCCCAACGAGAGUACCGACACAGUCACCUGACCCAGCAGUCCAACCGAUGAUACCCACGCAACCGCUUUUUCAGAUGAUGCCAGGUGCGUUUCCUAGCCUUUUUAUAUAUCCUAACCCUUAUAUGUAUCCUUUUCCGAGUCCUAAGGCAGGUUGGAGCCAAUGGCCCGGUUCAGCUCCGUUUCCUGUUACGCCGAGUGGACCGCCGAUGUAUAGGUCAGCAGCACACGAGGGAUCGCAAGAGGGGCCGUCGAGGAGCUCUUCUUUUUACCAAUCCCCACCACCGUAUGAGUUUCAAACACCGUCACCGUUGGUGAUGCAAAAACCUCCACAUUCACUAUUCUUUGAAGGUGGAUCAUCGUCCCAACUCCGACAACCAGAUACCCUACCAGAAGAACCAGAAUCCCCGCCACAGGAACCACAACCGCCACCGGAAGCUGGACAAAGGAGGCAUCCAGCGCGUAACCAUCGACGGCCGCCAUGUGGCACUGAAUCCAGCGGGCACAGACAUUGAUUUUUGUAUUUAAAUUUAUUUGUACAAAUAUUUUGAAUAUUUUGAUACUAUUUGAUGUAAUAAAAUAGAAAUUGUUUUGAGUUAUUACUUAAAACCCUAAACUAAUUUCUUAAAAAUUUAUAAAUCUAUAAUUUAUAAUUUAAUUGACAAACCUUAAACCCCAAAACUAAAAACCCUAACCCUAAUCAUAACCCUUAACUUAAAAACUCUAACCUUUAAAUUAAAAACACUAAACCCUAAACCUAAAAACCAUAAACCCUUAAGCUAAAAACCUAACCUUAGACCCUAACCAUUAACCUAAAACACUAACCUUAAACCCUAAACUCAUAAACCUAAAUACCCUAACCCUAAACCCUAAACCCUUAACCUAAAAACCUUAACCAUUAACCUAAGAACCCUAAACCCUUAACCUAAAAACCCUAACCCUCAACCUAAAAACCUUAAACCCUUAACCUAAAAACCCUACACACUAAACUUAAAACCCUAAACCCUUAACCUAAAAAUCCUAACCCUUAACAUAAAAACCUUAAACCCUUAACCAAAAAACCCUAUACACUAAACUUAAAACCCUAAACCUUAAAUCUAAAAACCCUAACCCUUAACCUAAAUUUCAUAAACCCUUAACCUAAAAACCCUAACCCUGAACCUAAAUUCUAUAAACCCUUAAUCUAAAAACCCUAACCCUAAACCUUAACCUAAAAACCUUAACCCUCAACCUAAAAACCCUAACCCUUAACCUAAAAACCCUAAAUGCUUAACCUAAAAACCCUAACCCUCAACCUAAAAACCCUAAACCCUUAACAUAAAAACUCUACACACUAAACUUAAAACCUUAAACCCUUAACCUAAAAACUCUAACCCUUAACCUAAAAACCUUCAACCCUUAAACUAAAAACCCUAACCCUCAACCUAAAAACCUUAAACCCUUAACCUAAAUUCCAUAAACCCUUAACCUAAAAACCCUAACCCUUAACCUAAAUUCCAUAAACCCUUAACCUAAAAACCCUAACCCUCAACCUAAAUACCCUAAACCCUUAACAUAAAAACCCUAACAUAAAGGCUUAAAAACUAUCCUUGUCCCUUAACUUAAAUAUAAUUUGAUAAUUUUACUAACCAUUAAUACAAUUAUCAGUUAAUAACUUUACAUUCACGUAAUGUUAGAUUUGGAAAAAUGUUUUGACUAGUACUAACAAUUAAUAAUUUUAUAUAAUUUUAUAAUUUUUCUAACAAUUAAUACAAUUAUCAAUUAAUAAUUGAAAAAAUAUAAUUAGCAGCAAUUACAUUCAACUAUUGCGAUUAGGGCAUGAUCGACUUGUAUGGCCUAGAUUCCUACACCAUCCGCACAACUUUUGUUGACUGGCUGUUUCUCGGAUAGCCAUAUUGUUGCGUAUUCUAGUCGAGCAAGGUCGACCCCUUGGUUUGCGACGCAAUUUUCUAUCCAGUAACAGCUUAAAAUGAGCAAGAGAUACGGGCAGCCACUUACGUUCAUCUGGGGCCAGUGGGAAAACGUGUCUCUAGAUGUUGUACAUGUUUUCUAAUUUGUACACUUCGUCCACAUAGCUCAUCGGAUCCAGACGGAGAUUCUGACAAGAUACAAUAACAUGAGAGCAUGGAUAACAAAGUGCAUCAAAACUCUCACGGUCGCAAGUCCUAUUUCGCAAGUCUACAUGAUAUUGCCCACCAACAACACUUUGGAGCGGUCUAUCAAACUCUGUCACGCGAAACAAUAAGUUGUCUCAAUCGUGACACACGGUGUGCAUGGUGUUUGCCCGCGCCUUGGCCUUGUGAAUUUCUUAAACUACCUUGCUGCACCAUACAUGGCCUCUCUGCAUCUGGCCUGCAUAACUUGCUGCUCGCUUUGGAAAUAGUGCCACCAAACGAAAAUAUGUCUCUCGCACAACUGAUGUUAUCUGUAGAUGACGCAUUUUUUUAAGAACAGAAUUUAUGCAUUCAGCCAAGUUUGACGUCAUAUGGCCAUAUCGUAGGCCGUCGUCGUAUGCUUGUGCCCACUAUUUGAAACGUAUGUUAAAAGGUAGUACGCCCCUCCUUUGUUAAUUGAACGUAAAAUUGCCAACAUCUCGUGAAAACGGUCUUUAUUUAUUUCAUACCCUACCAAUAUAAGUUCAUAGAGAAUAUUACAUGCCACUUAUACUAAUAAAACUAAUUCAAAUUGACAAACGAAAAACACAAAUAUAGACUAAAUACACAUGUUGGUCACUUGUCGUCAUUCGUUCUUAGAUGGAUAUUGACUGUAGUAGUUGGGAGCAACGUGUCUUAGGCAAUAUCGAUGGUGCGUGCGCUGCCAUAAGCUUCCCUCUCGAUCAAAUGCAACUAGUAUAUCGGUGCCCCGAUCUAAAAUAACACAGAUAUCAGGUUGGGGGCACACAUGCCUCCUUAACCUAGAGAGAAAGAAAUCUCAAUCAUCAGAUGACUCCCCCGGUGUUAUUGCAAAUGCAAUUGGAAGAAUUCUCCCACCGCCAUCCUGUGCCACUGCAAGCAAUAGCCGAUGAGUAUACCUACCAAACAUAAAGGUACCGUCAAUUUGUACCAAUGGCUUACAGUAUGGAAAUGCGUCUCGGCAUUGCUUAAAGGUCCAAAACAGGUGUUUGAACACUCGGCAUCCACGUAGCAAUCGGCCGUUGUAGUACGCAUGUUCCGUUUGAAGGUCUAUGAUGGCACCUGGGACGUACCUCUCUAGCACUUGACACCACUGCCAUAUUUUAUUAUAUGAGGCAUCCCACCCACUAUGCAUCUUCUCCAAUUCCUUUUGCUUAGCUAUCCAAGCCUUGCGGUAAGACGGCGUGUACCCUAUUUGGCUACAGAUAUUGGCAAUUAACACCGGCACUGAAGUCUUGGGAUCUGCUUUUACCGUGGGCAGUAUCAAGCUAGCUAACAUAGCUAAAUCCAUCUUGGGAUGAUCUUGUAAAACACCUAUAAUUGGAGUACAUUAAAUAAUGCAACAUUACAUAAUAAAAGUAUUAUUCAGAAACCGUCAAUAUUGUACCUACAGCACAUGUAUGUGGACCUUUGUACUUUUUAAUCUCCCACAACCCUGUCCUUUUCCUUAACGAGGCGUAGGUUUUCCAUGAACAUGUGCCGUCUUGUACCGCAUACUUCACCUCAAACUUAUCAAAUUUCAAUUUAACGACGUGGUAGUUAACGUCGUUUUUGAUGCUAUGUUGUUUCAAAGCACCAAUAAAACUAUCCUUGUUGGUAAACUGAUUGCCAACUUUAAAUUCACCCGAAUCUAGCCCCGAACUUGUACGAUCACGCAACAGGUGUGGUAGAUCUGGAAACUCUAACGUAUCAUCUGCAGACAGAUCGACAUUAUGUAUGUGGGCUAGAGGUGAGUAUACUCUGAAUCAUGGAUUUUCUUCUUCAAUUGAACUCCUUUCAGCAUCUUCAUGUUCUGUUGGAAUAGGCUCCGGUUCAGAAAAUAAGCCAACUUCUGCACCAUCGGGCCCGAGCUCUCGAGGUGGAUCCACAUUACAGUCAUCUUCUAACCCACAAUCAUCUGCAGCGUACGAGGUCCCCUCACCGGUUGACGUCGUAGGGUGUACAUCAUCCCUUCUUCUGGGCAUUUCAUAACGUCCCCAAUUGGAUGUAGAUUGCCACCCACUAGAACUUGAUGUCGUUCCCUAAUACGUAUUUCUAGCAUCAAACGUCGAGCCACUGACGUACAUAUCCCAUCCACCAACAGAGUGUCUUGCAGGGGAUGUGCAUUCGACACCACUAUCAAAUAUGGGCUAUUCUGUGUUUUGUAACCUGCUAACCCAGUGUCAACUAGUGGUCAUGUAUACAUCUCGAACACCAGUCGCAAGUACAUCAUUUGGCGGUGUAAAUUGUACAUAUAACUCAAUAUAAGGUGCUCCACUAGCAAAAUGAGUCUGCACAAUUGCCUCCAAGUUACGAGCACCUUUUAUGUCGAACGAGUCAUAUGUCACCGGAUCAACAGAAGAACAAAAUCAACACGUGAUAGACAGAACUUUCAUUGGUGUCGUUCCAAAAAUUUUACGCCUAAUUCUUUUACGAAGUUUUGUCAAAUCUAUGUUCUGGUUAAAAACCAGUCGCACCGUAUUCUCCGAUAAAAAAACAACACCAUUCUCGGUAUGGCAAACCUCACCAUCGUAGUAAAUAACAGCACUAAUAUGUUCACUCAUAUUUGAAACUCUAACCUUCUUAGCCUCUCUAAAUUGUUUCUGCUGUGACUUAUGCAUUUUGAGAACAUUUUUUGCCUCAUUUAUAGCCUCAGCCCAAACAUGCUAUUGUAGCAAAAGCGCAUCCACGUGGGCACGAUUUCAUAAAUUCUUCUCAUAAAGCUUUUUUUUGGUAAAUUUAAAAAAAUAGGCUUUUUUUGGUAAAUUGCCCUCAAUUGGGUGCAAAAAGUUCGUAGGGGCUUAAUUGAUUUUUUUCGAAAAAGUUCGACGAUCAAAAAUACCUUUAAGCCCUACUUUAACUAUUGAUAUGUCUUUUUUAAUUAAUUUUACAUUCGUGCAUAGUAUAGGCACACAAUGUACGAGGUGUUUCCACGUAUACAUGUAAAGUGCAUUUUGAUGCCACGAAGGAAUUAGAUAAAAAUGUGAUUGUUAAGUUAGUAAUGUCACCUUCUAGUAAUUGAAAAGAAUUAGAUGCAUUUAGCUAGUAGAGUGUAAUUAUAUUGUAAUUCUUUGUGCCUUGUUUAGUAAUAUAAAUUGUAAUUACACAUUUACAAAUUUUAAAUUGUUUAAAAAGUAUUAAUUAAUAUAAAUAUUUAUCAAUAAUAUCUGAGAAAAAAUUUUAAACAAGUGACAUAAAUUAAAAUCAAAUCAUGUUAUGUUAGUCCAAGAAAAUAACCGACAACAUGAUUACCGAUAAAAAAAAAUAAAAAUAAACAUUAUAUGCAACUUUAUUAUUGCUUUAGCAUUCCAUGUUUGUUGGGUUAUUCCUUUUCUAACAUUUAACAUCUACUUCUUAUCAUCAUCUAUUAGUUCUUGACCAAUUUCUUCAUUGUUGAUACAAGGUACAACAAUGGAGGGGAGUAAGGAGGAGGUAAGGUGGAGUGAGUGGUGGUUUUGUGGAGGCCGGUUCACUUAAAGAGGUGGAGAGCCGAAAAGGAACAAGAGGAUAGGCUGAUUGCUGAAAGUGGAGAUGGCUGCUCAGAGUAACUUUAAGGAUUGGAAAAUCGAUCCAUUCUUCAUCGUUGGAAAGGUAUUUAUAAGAGAGGUCCACUUGUCCAUUAGCAUGACAUGGCAGGAUAAAUGUUCAGUCCCACCAAAUGUGUAAAGGAUAUUCAUGAACAUAAAGGAUAUUCAUGAUGGGCCCCAUUAUGUUAUUCAUUUGAUCAAUACAAGGUUGUUAUGCCCAUGCAAGUCCUAAUGGACUCAAGGAUGUGUUCACACCAAAAAAGGGGGUGCCAAGCCUUUCUAAAGGGUUGGUGCUCCUUUGAUCUUAGUGGAUGGUCCAGUGAGACAUCUUCUUAGGAAAACUCAAUGAGAGGGUUAAUGUUGUCUAUACUAUUGACACGUGUCCAUGUGGCGGGGAUAUAACAUUCAUCAUCUACAUCAAAAUCUGAAUAUGCAUCAUUAAGAUUAUUGAAAUCAUUUUUUUAUUUGUAUCAUUAAGAUUAUCAAGAUCUUUUUUUUUUCAUGUACUAUUUAAAAGUAUUGAUAAUUCCAAUUCCACCUAUAAAUGGAAUUGUGAAGUAUACAACAAGUUAGAACGAUUGAACAUUGUUUUUUGGACUAUAUUGAUGUGGUUUGUUAAUAUGAGAAAUAUUUUUUUAGAACAACAAAUAUCCUCUCAACCACAUUUCAAAGCUUUGAAUAAAGAGUUUGCGAGCUGUGUUUGGUACUUGUGUCUAGCUCUAUUCUUUCAAAUGAUAUCAUACCCCGUGAUAUACUGCAAAAAACCUUUUGCAUUUGCAUAAUCAAUAUCUAUCACAUAAUAUUUCCUAAAAAACAUGUAACAAUUUAAAUGAUUUGUGAGAAAAAUAAAAUAACAGCAAGGUGAUGAUAAUAUUAAUGUAUUUAUGAAGUACAAUUUUGAUCUAUUUUCUCUCUCAAACAUCAUUCUUAGCAUUCUAGUAUUUGAGGCACAAAUCAACUUUAUAAUCCUUCAAUUAUAAUAGUUUUUAUAAAUCUAAUUUGCAGUUUACUAUGUGUUCAAUAAUAAACCAACUUUAUAACCUUUUUAUAAUAUUUCGAUUGCUAUUAUUUCAUGCAAUUUAGAUAAAUAUAUAUAUAAAUUUUAUAAUAUAACAUUUAUAAACAAUGUUUUUAUAAAGUGCUGAAUAGCUUUUAUGGUGCUUAUGUUAAAGUGCUCAAAUAUGUGUCACACAAUAAUAGUAUAAAAAUUAUAACACACGAUUUAUAAGCAUAAUUUGCUAGGUUAAAAUUUGCUUUAAAAAAAUACAGGAGUUAGGUGACAUGGCAAGGGUUUCUCCUACCUUAAUCAAUAAUCGAGGGUUUGAUCCUUACUCUAGGUAUGGAGUAGUUUUAAAACUUGUGGCCAGUAUCUACCCCCUUAAUGGGCUUACAGAAUGUGAAAGAUUAGUUAUCGGGCUUGCUUAGGUAGAUAGAUUGAGAAAUCAAAAAAAAAUUACACAAAAUAUUUUGACUUAUGUGUCUAAUAGCAAAGCAAUUUUGACCCGAUAAGAUAUAUAUAAUUAUACUUAAAAAAAUAUAAAAUAUAUGUCCUAAAAUUAAAAUAUAUUAUUAUAUUAAAAUAUUUUUUGUAAAUUAAAAUAUAUUAUUAUUGCAUUAAAAUAAUUUUUGUAAACUUGUAUAAAAAAUAAUUUCUUAAAUCAUGUACAUGUGUUUAAAAAACUAUAAGGUAAUUAGUAAUUUAUUGUAAUUACUCGCGUAAUUACCCCAACUCUCAACCCCUAAAAAUUGAAUAGCAUAAUUGAGGUGCUAAAAUUACAUUCAAUUUAGUGAACCCACAAAUCACAAUGGUUUUCUAAACACGCCACACAUUUGCAAUAGCAAGUAAUUGCACUCAAAUCUAAUAUUUGCAUGAAAUAUUUGAAUUUAUAUGUCUAAUAGCAAAGCAAUUUUGACCCAAUAAGAAAUAUAUAAUUAUAUUUUAAAAAUAUAAAAUAUAUGUUCUAAAAUUAAAAUACUUUAUUAUUAUAUUAAAAUAACUUUUAUAAAUUUGUAUAAAAAAUAAUUUCUUAAAUCAUGUACGUAUGUUUGAAAAACUAUAAGGUAAUUAGUAAUUUAUUGUAAUUACUCGCAUAAUUACCCAACUCUCAACUCUCUAAAAAUUAAAUAGUAUAAUUGAGGUGCUAUAAUUACAUUUAAUUUAAUGGACCCAUCAAUAACAAUAGUUAGUCAAACAUACUAUACUUUUAUAAUAGCAAUUAAUCACACUCAAAUCUAAUAAUUAAUUUAUAUUGAAAUCUUCAAAAUCAUAUACUUUGUGGUCCAAGUUAAACUGAUUUUUUUUUUCAAAACAAUUGCAAAGAAAAUUCAUGAAAUUAAGUUGUUUUCAAAUAAUUAAUUCACAUUGGGAUUUUCAAAUAAAAUGUCACAUUAAUAAUAUUUCAAUCAUUAAAAUAUUAUGUAAGACAUUUUGCUUAUACAAGAAAUAUGAAAAAUUCUAAAAUUUAAUCCAGUUUAAUCUGCUGAAGGAAAUGACUCUAACACUGACCUAAUUCAAUUAAGCCUCUGAAAUUAGCUUAACUUCAUAAAACUUAAUCCAGUUUAGUCAUUCUAAAGUCUCUAAUUUUGUUUAAAAGAGUUUUUAAAUAUAUAAAUGAUUUUAAAUUUGUAUGUUUUAAUAUGAAAUUCAUUAUAUUGUAGUAAGAUUUAAUGUGGCAUGUUUAAAAUUUUAAUUUAACUCAAAUAAUUUCAUUUAAUUUGGCUCGACUCAAAUUUUAUUUCACUUGAUUCGAUUUGAAAAAAAAUUCAAAUUGAAUUAGAAUGAUAAAAUGAGACUCGUCAACUCGAAAUUAUUUUACUCGAUUCGAUCCAACACUCACCCUUAGUAAUUGCAUCAUUGAUACUAAUAACAACAUAAAAAAUGUAUACUUAUCUUUUCUAAUCAAUAUGCAGGCACGAAAUGGAAAUUUCCAUGAGAAAGAAGUAUAUCGCGUAUGAAAAAGUAAGUUCCAUGACAUCGGCUGAAGCAAUAACAACAAAUGCAAAAAGACAUUGACUCCUAUGGAAAUCCAUCAGUUUGGAAACUAUAACGUAUAUGCUACGACUCGGUGUUUUUUGGUGUGUCACCCGUUAGACUUUCAAUUAUGUUGGUAAUAAAUAUAAUCUAUUUCAAUUAAAAAAAUGAGUAGAAUUUAGUAAUUCAUUAUGACCCAAAUUAUUGGUGAAGUUAAAAUUAAAAUUUUUUCGACAAAAACUUUCAGUACUUAGUACUUAUGUGUAAUUCAAAUCUUUCCAUUAUAUAUCCCAAAUAAGUUAAAAGGCAUGGCGUGGUGUCUACCUUUGCUUAUCCAUGUCAGACUUGCAAUUCUUUAUAUUAACCUUAAUUAUCGGCCUUCAUAAAAAGAUGUGUAAUUAUACAAGUCAAGAGCAAAAAAGAUAUGUUCUCUCAUAUCACUUGGAGUGAUGAGUCCUUUCUGAACCACUCCAUCACCUUCGUAUGUCAUACCAUAUUUAAAACAUUACUUUAAGCACCUAUCAAUGUGAAUCCAUUUGGUGAUGAAUCAAAGUAUGACGGUUAACACAUAAGGAGAGUUUGUGUAAGUCUAAAGAUUGUUUACACUACCAAUACAUGAGACUAUUUCUAUAGGCAUUUGAGUGAAAUACCAAAUGGAACUAUCAUAGCAGGUCAAGUUAUAUUUUAUAAUUUUUUCGAAACUUUUUAAAAAUUAUUCACAUUUUAUUUUUUAUAUUUGUAAUAAAUUUUAUAAUUUUUAUAACUUUUACAUUUUUAAAAUAUUCUAAUAACUUGACAAGCAACAUCAACAUACUUCCACAUGGCAUGUCACAUGUCAACUUGUCAUAGCUUCCGCCAACCACAUCAACAACCAAUAUUGAUAAAAUCAGUCAACAACCGUUUUCGUUAGCGAAAGGAGCCAAUUGAUUUUUUUCUCAUUGAAUGCUCGAUUGGGUCAAUUUUUUUAUUAUGAACUUGAUUGAUUUUUAACUUUUUACUAAGGUGUUUUUUACACUUUAACCUUAUAUUAAUAUUCAUUAUUUUAUUAAAAAACUUAUUUCUAAGUAAUUUUUCCGACCGAAUUGAUAUCGGAUUAACUCCAAUAAAAUAUAUUAUAUAAACAUAUUAAAAUAUAUCAAUAAAGAAAACACCAUUAAUUUGUUUGAAGUCUCGACUUUUUGAGUCUUAAUGGGUGAGAAAUUUCUUAUAUAGAAACUGAAGACGAUAUAUAAAGUAAAUGCCACAUUAAAAGCCCAAUUCUUUGGAAAAUAAAUUCCAUCACGACUGAACCAAAAAUUAAAAUAAAAUCUAUCAUAUUUAAUAUAUUAGUCCAAGAAAAUAAUCGAUAAUAUGAUUACUAAUAAAAAUAACAAGAAAAAUGAUUUAUGUUAGGUUAUAACAAUAUUUUUUUUUUUUUGAACAAUGAGAUUUUGACCUAGACUAUUCCUUGAAAAGGUGAAUACUCGACUAAUAGGCCACAACUUAAAAUUUUUUAAAUUAUAACCAUUUUUAUAAUACAUGAAUUAGGUUUAAAAUAGUAUAAAAUUUAUAAUAUAUACCAACUAUAUAAAAAAUUAUUUAUAAGGUGUCCAAUAACUUCCAAAACACUUCUUAUAAAUAAUAAAUAUUUUUAUCUUAAAAAGUUUUUUUUUUUAAAUAAGUCAUGGAAAAAAAUUAUAAUUGUUUUAUAAAUAAGUAUAUUUUUUUGUAUAACAUAUAGUAUGGACACAUAAAUAAGUUAUAUUUAAAUUUUUUGACCAUAACUUUUUUUUUUAUAAAUAAGUAUUUGCAUAAUAUAGUAUUUGCAUAAUAUAAUGUUUGCAUUAUUGAUACUAACAACAUAGAAAUUUCCAUGAAAAAGGCCUUGAAUCCUUUGAUGAAUUAAGUUCCAUGACAAGGACUGAAGCAAUGACGACAGCUGGCCCCUGCAACUAUUGCAACAAGACCUUGAAUCCUUUGAUGAGUUCCUUUAAAUUCAUCAGUUUGGAAACCAUAACAUAUAUGCUACCACUAAAUCCUUACCAGAUUAAACAUGGCCCCAUCCUUAACCAUUUCUGUUAUUCUAGGGGUACUGUGGGCCACCAUCCUUCUUUCC